rnacentral:rRNA from 1 species
GGGCCCGCACAAGCGGUGGAGCAUGUGGUUUAAUUCGAAGCAACGCGAAGAACCUUACCAGGUCUUGACAUCCCGCUGACCGCCUUGGAGACAAGGCUUUCCCUUCGGGGACAGCGGUGACAGGUGGUGCAUGGUUGUCGUCAGCUCGUGUCGUGAGAUGUUGGGUUAAGUCCCGCAACGAGCGCAACCCUUGAUCUUAGUUGCCAGCAUUCAGUUGGGCACUCUAAGGUGACUGCCGGUGACAAACCGGAGGAAGGUGGGGAUGACGUCAAAUCAUCAUGCCCCUUAUGACCUGGGCUACACACGUGCUACAAUGGACGGUACAAAGGGCUGCAAACCCGCGAGGGGGAGCCAAUCCCAGAAAACCGUUCUCAGUUCGGAUUGCAGGCUGCAACUCGCCUGCAUGAAGCCGGAAUCGCUAGUAAUCGCGGAUC